CCCCGCCCGUCUCUGCUCUUCGUGUGCAUCUCUGCUCUUCUUGCUCUAAAUCACAAGGAACGAAAUCCUUAAUUUCAAAACUUAGAAAAUCGUAGCCCCAAAUCGUGGAACCGGGGAUUUCUAUCUACAAGCAGCUUGCAAGGGAACUUGACAACGACGACUUAGCCUAGCAAGAGGAGGACAAGCCACAAUUGCGCGGUUCGUCGAGACCUGGUUCGACGCGAAGACCCAAUUCGCCUAUACCCAAUUGUGACUCGACUCGGCCUUGAGAUUCUGCACCAAACCCGACAUUCAGGUAUGAUUUCUUUUGGACUCUGCCACUUUGCAAUGCAGUUUGUUUCAGCUUUUGUAUACACAAGUAGAGCCUGAGAUUAGUAGUUUCAUUUGUGCGAAAAUCAAUCACGAAUGAGGCUGCUUUGAUAUAUUCAGCUUCUGUUAUUUUAGAUUGUUAUACUUUGCAUUCAUAUAGAAUCACUAUCCACCUAAUAUUCAACCCCUUCGAUAAAAUGCCUAAGUGACAUACGAAUGUAUGUCUGUGAAAGAGUGAGUUUUACGAUAAUAUUAUUCGAUUUUAACCAUCCAAGAGCUAUUGGAACAUCAAUUUGAAUAGAACUUAUCGAAACAAUAUGUCAUGGCUUGUGGGUCACCAAGAAUAUAAAUGAUCAAUCAAGUUGUUGUUUAUGGAUUUGUUUUUGUUAUGCAUUGUCAUUACCUUUUUGAUUCUAUGUUCUGUAUUGCCAUCAAGAUGAUUGUAAAUAGAUACAUGUAGUUCAAGUCAACGAAGUUUCAGAUUAUUAGAGGCUAAUCUACUUAUCUAUGUUACAUUUUCUUCUCGUAGCUUUAAAUUUUUAUUGUAACUGCUUCCCAAAUCUGUUGGUUAUUGGGUUUGUAGCAGCUGGUGGUUCAAGUUUUGUUCACAUGCUGAAGCAUUAAAUUAUUUUUAUUGCUUGAUUUACUUGCAUUGCUGGGGAUAUGAUCUCAAGAAGUGUGGGGAAUGUUUUGUUUUGUUAAGUAGUAGAACCAAUGUAAGAAUAGAGCAAGCACACUUAAUUGGAUAGCAUCUUCAUCUUGACCUUCAUUAGUGGCAACGUUUUCCAGAGUUGCUUGUUGCAAAAUUGAAUUGAAUUUUCACAUACUAUUAACUAAUUUUGCAUGUAUCUGUUCACCUAUUCAUCACGUUUGUAUAUUGCCUUGAUUAUUGAAAGAGGUACUUCAAAUUGUAAGUGGGAAUCUAUAUGGAUCGAAUCUGGAAUAGGUUUCUAAAGAUAGCUGAAUCACAGCAUCAGGAAUUCAGGUCAAGCUCAAAGAGAUAUUUCUUUUAUUCUUCCACACUUUGACAAUAUGGACCACUUUAGACAGAUUUGCACAAGAUCUUUAAAAUGUCAUCCUCAUUAGGCUUUGGUACCAAAGGUUUCCUUGAUCUAUUAAGGCUUUGCAUCUCUCGAAUCAAAGAGAGAUUUCAAGGCUUCUCGGACUACCUCCAACCAGUCAAGUCCAGUGGAUAACCUUUCUCAGAGUUCCAGUGACAACUCCGAGGAGGCUCUGGCUGAUAUGAACCAUUGUCAAUGGUCUCAGCUACAUGAAGAAGAAGAUGGUUUCACACAAGAAGUUCCAGAGUGAUCAUCAAGAGGAAGGCCUGUUGAAAGUGAUCAUCCCAUCAGUCUAGGCGAGACUGGCUUUCUGGAAGGAAGGAUCAUCAAGAGGAAGGCCUCCCUUGAUGGCACAGCGGAAAAAGAGAGCUCAAAACAAAAGCGUAUGCAUGUGGAUGAUUCUCUUGUCAAUGAUGGUAUGUUGUCAACUGA